CAUCCCGGCUCCCGUAGAAUCCAGCCGCCGCGUCCCAUUGGUCGGGCGGACCCAAACAACGGGCAUCACGUCACCUGGCGGGAGGGGGGGAAGCGCUGCGGCGUGAGGGGGGGAAGGAGGAUCCCGCCAGCAGCUGCCCGCGGCCGUCCACCACCCCCGCCCCGGGAUCCCCCCGCCCCGGGCAGGUGCAGGUGUCUUGGAUACCAUUUAAGACAACCAGCAUUUAAUCUCAGCCACCCACAGCAACAUCUCAAGUGUGCGAUGACUGGGCAAAUGUCAUUUUAAUGGUGACCAGUAUAUGAUGGCUUUGAUCCAUAACAUCAUAUUCAAAAAGACCAAAAGCAGAUCUUUUGGGCCUCAAACAGCCUUAAGGAGCAACAGAGUAAUUAAAAUUUCCAGUUGGAUAGUACAGAAGCCAGUUGAAGACUGCAGAAGGCCAUGAGUUCACUCAUUCAAGUUCUCAUCUUCUAGUUGUGCACCAAGUAAUAUGCAAUGAAUCAUCUCUGUUCAAGCAUGUGGUAACUCUUCAUUGGAGUAAAGUUAGGCUGGGUAGCUAGGAAUUCUUAUAAAUUUAUUGUCAUCAUUUGUGAAGUGGAGGUUUUAAUUAAGUGGAAUUUCUUGUGAAGGAGAGUUUCUGGCACACACCUCUGUUGGGGCAUUGUGACAGGGUGCCUUUCUAGGGGUAGCCAUGAAGCCCCAGGAGUUCCUGCAGCCCUCACUUUCUAGGGCCUAACCCCUAGAGUCACUCACUAUGACUUAAUGUAAUUUAUUUUUUAUACGAGGGCAGCUGCCCCAGGGCUUCCUAAACUGCUCUUUCAAAUGACCACCAGGUGCAUGUGGUUCCUGCCUUAUGGGCUAGUUGUAUGGUUCCAUUCUGCCCCUACAUCAUGCCCCAUUUCUCUCAGAUGGCAUCUUCAUUGAUGUUCUCUUCCACUUAGCCCCUCCUCUGGGGCUCCUGGACCCGUGCUGAUCCCCCACAUCCUCAGCCCCACAGUCUGGGCUCUGGACCCCUUCAUGGGUUCCUAGAAACCUCUUUCUACCCUUAGUUCCUCCCCAGCUCUCUAGACUGCUUUCGGUAUUACCUUCCAUGUUAACCUUCUGGAGCUGCUGCCAUCCUGCUGAGGUGGUGUUCUCUCAGGAGGAUCCAAGCUGGUAUUGUUGGCUCCACUCAGGCCUGGGCUUAUAUUCUACCUAAGCCCAGCUUUACUCCAGGGUCAGACAACUCCAUAAAUCAAUCCCGGCUGCACCUACAGGCUGCUUCUUAAAGUGGCAAGAGCAGAAAGCUUCCUGCCACAAUGACGUGAGAAGUUCCUUCUUUACCUGGUUCAAACCAGAAGGUUGAACUUGGGUCUUGGCCAUUACAGGUGAGUGACUGAAGUACUGGGCUUUUGGCUGUUUUGGAUGCACAAACUCUCUGCUUUUUCAAAAAUAAUUUUUAAAAAUGUAACUGCAAUUUUUUCAUGUUUUCCAUACAAUCCUGACUGCUUACCAAAGUAUAAGUCAGAGAUGUAAAGACAACCUCUGCCUUGAAGAACUUACAGUGAUCUAUUUGAUACGCACAGGUGAGACAGUAUGUACUGGGAGACCAGUUAGCUGUUAACUCAGAACACCUUUAUUUUGUUUCCUUCUUUCAUGACUGACCAAAAUGAAUGUUCGUGGCCCUCAUGGAAUAAAGGAGACACAAUAAACCACUGUUUCUCAGCCUUUUUAGGUUAACCACUUCAUGUUAGAAACCAAACUUUUGCGAGCUCCUUCCAUUUCUAUAAAUGCAAGAAUACACACACGAUAAUCCUCAGCCACAUGGUAAUCCUAUAUAAAACAUCAUAACUAAUACAACUCUAUUUGAUCUCACAUUUUUUUUACAGUUUUGGCCAUCCUGAAAUCACUCUGGAAAUUUUCUUUUCUUAAGAACUGUACUAAUAUUCAAUGCCUUGCAACCUCCUCCCCUCCCAACAACUCCUCCCUCCUCACCCCAAUUGUGACAUCUGUGAGGGUGGCAAUCAUCAGCCAAGAAACACUGAAAUAAAAGAGUUUGAAUGAAAAGAUGAGACCUUGGCUCACUAGGAUAGGGAAAAGAAAUGUGUAUGGAAAAAUAUUAAUGGUAACAAACGUAUUAUGGAGAGACUAAUAUUCUUGUGACAGGGAAAGAAUAGUCUUUUUUUAUAUCCAGUUAAGCCCCAGAGGGGCUUGAGAAAACACAUGAUUCAUACACAGCUGAUGACCUAAAAGCAGAUUGUGGCUACAAACACCCCUGGUGGCAGCUAGGAAAUCUAUACUCAACAGAUAGAUUUUUGUUAUUGUAUCAGGUCCCAAUCUCUCUGGCUCCAUAUGAACCAUAUGGGAAAAAACCCAGGAAUUUACUGCCUCUGAUUUAUCUAGACACUUGGGAGUAAGGUGAUGUUUGCUGGUCAUUAAAAACAAAGUAAUUUUAAAAAGUAAGUUUAUAUGAGCUUCUUGCACUCAAUCACUGUAAUAGAUUGGCAGAAUUGCAAAUUCUUCUAAUGCACAUGAUAAAAGUUUAAUCUAAAAAUGUAUCUGGCAAUAGGACCUCUCUAGAUAGGGAAUUAUGUCAAGCAAGAACCCAGUACAACACAUUUUGGCAGCUCAGCAACAGGGUCUUGAGUACUCUUCUUUUUAAUAAUGAAGCUGAUAUGAUAAAGAUGGCAACCCUAUUGAAAUAAAAACUCUGUCCUGAAACUGGAAUGAAUGUAUACUACUACUAAAUUGUGUCCAAAACCAGAAACAUCAAUAAAAUUUGGCAGAAGGAGUACUUACACAUUCAUUGCCAUACAUUGUCAAAGAGAACACUCUUAAAAUAGUCCUUUUCCUGUUUGAAAGAUAGGUCAUUUGUCUCCUCAGUUCCAACUCAACUCCCAUAGGAAGUCAUUUUGACCUGGAUCAGGCCAUUUGUGUGAUGGGACAGUUGCAGAUGAAAGGGCUUUCCAUGGACAUUUCUAUUGACUGGACAGUUGCUACAGAGAAGAAAUUUCUGCUGGCACACAAAAUUCUCAGACCAACUACUUUUUCUGGACUUCCAAAAGCAAAGCUGUGUCUGUGAAUCGUAAGCUUGGCAGGUACUUUGGUCACCAUAAUUCCUAUUCAAGACUGCAACUAUUUUUGAAUAAAAAAUAGCCUAAGAAUGGAAGUAUUCUGGAUCUGCAUCCCUAUCAGCAACUGACAUUUGGAGUUCAUUCUUUGCCUACUCUUCAGAAACCACAGCAAUAACAGUUAUCUUCCUACAAAUCCCUCCUUAAAACUCACCACUGCCACAAUGCCUACAAAAAACUCAACAAGGACUAAGCAACUAAUCAGUAUACUAACUAGUGGUGAAACUUUUGCCUUGCUGUUGUUUUUUGUUUCCCUUUCUCUUUGUUGCAUCCUGUCUCCUGUUACCCUUAAACCAUAAACUGUAAACUUCUGGGGGCAAGGACCAUCUGUUGGUUGUUUGUACAGUGUUUAGCACAGUGUACCCCUCUGAUCUUAGAUGCAGACCUCUAGGGUAGGGAUGUCAAGCAUAUGGGCUAUGUCCACAGAAACACUGCAUCGGGCCUGCCAGACAACUAGUGGGCUACAGAAGCUGGCGGAAGUGGCUAGGGUGAGGGUGUGGCCUGCCACAGAAUUUGGAGCCCCCUAGGCCAGGGGUAAGCAAAAUACGGUAUGUGGGCCAGAUACAACUUAUGGAGAGUCUUUGUUUGGCCCACAGCAGGAACCUCGGGGCUGUGCAGCUCAGGUCCCCACUAGUACUGUGGGGCUGCCCCCACCUGGGCUACCUAGAAAGGCAGUCCAGCUACAGAGCUAUCCCAGCCCUGCUGUGUGCACAAGGGGGUGGCAGGACACACCAUGGGCAGCUGUUGUGAAUCCAGAGUGGGCAUGGGGCGGGGCUGGAGCUGCGCAUUGUUGGCAGUGGCAGAGAGGCAUCUCAGGCCAUGCAGGCUCCUGCUGUUGCGGGUCAUGGGCAGGUGCUGACCAGCUCGGGGGGGGGGGGGGACAUACAGGGGCUCCUGUGCACACCCAUCAUACCCACCCACCCCCACAAACCCACAAAUACACCCUCCCCCAUACACAGUCACACACCCCACAAACACCACACCCACCCACAAAACCCCCACCCCUCCCAACAUGCACCCCCCCACACAGACACCUAUGGGGGGAGCCCCACUCACUGCUAUGAACACAUACCCCUUCCACACAUGCCCCCAGCCACCCUCCCCCCUCCACACACCCCACAAACUCCAUAUCCACCCACCCACGCAUACCCACACACCCACCCAUAAAACUCCCAUACCCACACACCCUCCCCCACACCCCACAAACCUCAACACACCUGAAUCAGGACAAAAAUAUUUUUUUUUAAUAAAAUUAAAAUGUGCUAUUGUCAAUGUUUGAUUUUUAGCAUAUAGUUUUUUUGGGGGGGUGGUUUCUGGUUUCAAGAUGGCAAACCCCCUUCCCAAAAUAAGUACUUCCACGGGCAAAGGGAGGGGCUUCUGCUGGCAGAGAUCAAGGUUUAGGGGGCGGGACUUCUGGCUCCAAGAUGGCGACCAGGGGGCAGGGUACUUGCCAAGGGGCGGGGCUACCUGUUUCAACCCUUGACAGCUCACCAAAACUUGUUAAGCAGCCCUCCAGCUGAAAUAAUUGCCCACCCCUGCCCUAGACCAUAGUGGCUUUCAACAGCAGGAGGUCAAACAAGCUCUGUGCUGACAGUUCUGCUUACCUUAUAGCCACUUGGCCCAUCACUACUGCUGCAGCAAAUGGUCACUUGACUUACUGCUGUUGGCCUUUGACUCAUACUGGAUCUGCUGCCACCCUGUGUCCCAGGCCACAUUCACCACUACUGCCAGAUCCAGCCCAGGGCAUGGGAUGAGAUUGAUACCCCUGAUCUAGAGUAAAAGAUACAGCUAGAAAUGAGACUAAAAGCUAAAAGCACUAGGUGAAGUAGCCUGUUGCAGUUGCUAAAAUAGUUUUAAUAAUAGAACUCACUAUUCUGUACUAUACUUAUUCACUUUUGGGGUUACUUGUUUGCAUUGUUUUUAUUCUUGUAAAUUUUUUUUUAAAAAUCACUAUAGUUACUAAGCAAAGCAUAGUUGAUUUGGUGUAUUUCAGGAGAAAUAAAAAUCUGGAUAAGCAGUAGUGUAGAUACAUUCAAAUAUGGUCACCCCACUCUUUUUAGGCUGAAUGUUGGAUGCAUGAUUCAGAGACUGAGGAGGAGAGAGGGGGUAAAUUGAAGAAAUUGAUUGAUUAACUCAUUAUUUCAUAAAUUGCUCUGAAAGCAGAAUCAGCUGAGCUGAUGAAGUGAUCCCUAGUUUCUCAAGCUAAGAUAAACAAGUCCUUGCAUUAUUUAGAAUAUUUUGGCUUAAAUGAAUAGAAAAGCACCUUUGAGUUCUGGCUUCCAUCCAGCAGAAACAGGUCUGUCUCCCUUUUUAUAACUUUCCCUGCCUAAAAUAUCAUUCCUACAGACAGUUUCAAGGUGAAAACCUCAUUAUGGAGGUUUUCCCCACUUUUCAACUCCUUUAAAAAAAAUCCUUUUCAUUCCUUUUGGAAUCACUAUAUUGGUGAAAUGCCAGCAAUCCAUUUUUGAUCAGCCCGUACCUAACUGAACUGAAAAAAAGACCAUGUUACAAGCAGUUUCAGAAUAGCAAUAUAUUCUUCUGAUAAAACCCACUAUUUACAGCACUUAGCUGAAUUAUCUACACUUGAUAUUGGGUAACAUCAGGAUGAAUCACAGUUGUAAGGAUCAGUGUUAGAAACAUUAUAUUUAUAUGCUUUAAUAAACAAAAAGAAUCACA